CUUUGCUGGGGCGAAAACUGUCUUAUCCAUGCGAGCAUGAACUGCAGAACUGAACCAUGAUCGGUUUCUUCCCCUUAAAGGUGAUGGAAAUCCAGGUGACUACAGGGUGCCGAUGAACACUAGACAAACAGCAUUCCUCCAGCAGUCUGAGAGCUGUGCAAUACUUUAUUUUGAGCAAAGUGCUUGUAGCGGAGAAUUCUGGAAUUCAUCAUGGUGAGAAGCUAAUUAGUCGCUAAAUGAAUACCCAAAAACCUGAAUAUUACCAUUAUCACAGUUGGCGAUUUCCUCAUCCCUGCUCAUCUGGUAGGAACAAGGAGUAAACAGAGACUACCUUCACAACAUUUACAGUCCAGGAACCUG